ACUUAUCUUCUGAUUCUUCUCUGUUACAG
rnacentral:piRNA from 1 species